rnacentral:hammerhead_ribozyme from 1 species
UAGCGAAACCGGAUAUGUACCUCUUUACACCUGAUGUAAAGAGGUACAUAUCCGGUCUGUCCGGCAUUGUGGCCGGGCACUGAUGAGCAACCAAGG